GUACACGCUGUGACUAGCAUAUCAAUAAGCGGAGGAAAAGAAACUAACAAGGAUUCCCCUAGUAACGGCGAGUGAAGCGGGAAGAGCUCAAAUUUGAAAUCUUAAAGGGUUUCCCUUUACGAAUUGUAGUUUAAAGAAGUGUUUUCUGUUGAGGUUUUGGUAAAAGUUCUUUGGAAUAGGACAUCAUAGAGGGUGAGAAUCCCGUAUUUGACCUUUACUUUCAACUUUGUGAUACACUUUCAAAGAGUCGGAUUGUUUGGGAAUGCAGUCCAAAAUGGGUGGUAAAUUUCAUCUAAAGCUAAAUAUUGGCGAGAGACCGAUAGCGAACAAGUACCGUGAGGGAAAGAUGAAAAGAACUUUGAAAAGAGAGUUAAACAGUACGUGAAAUUGUCAAAAGGGAAGCGUUUGACACCAGUGUUGUUUUUCUGAAAAUCAAUUAAAGAACUGUUUAUGCUAAGCUGUUUAGACUUUAUCAGCUAUCUGUUUAGUUUUGAGCUUUUCUUUAAUGCACUUUUCAGUUAACAAGACAACAUCAAUUUCUUUUGCUGUAAAAAAGCUUGAGGAAGGUGGCUUGAGAUUCGUCUUAAGUGUUUAUAGCCUCUUGCCUAUGCAGUCGGAGAGAUUGAGGUCUGCAGCGUAGAUCCUUCGGGGCUAAAUGCAUUUGUGCUAAGUUAUAGCAUUUUAUAGACAACUUGUUGACUAUGAUUUGUCUUGUAGCUUACUCGCUUAUGUUAUUUUACCUACGCUUAGGAUGUUGACUGAUAUGUGAUCGUCUCUUGCAUAUCAAUAAGCGGAGGAAAAGGCUGCGGAACUGAACGACCGCUACCUACGCUUAGGAUGUUGAUAUGCAUGACUGAUAU
rnacentral:rRNA from 1 species